AACGUUGGAAGGCCGGGACUUUUGGACAACGGAAUGGGAGGCAUCAGACGGAGCACACUCUUAGAGGGAGGAAGAAAACAGCUAAAGCCUGACCAGUUGAGGACCACAAAAAAAUCUAGUGAAAUCAGAGGUGCCAACAAAAUACUGAGAAUCUUUCAUUAAAUUCCCAAGCAGCACUUUGAAAAAAGAACCAUCGAAGCCAAAGUGAACUCGGUUUGGCUCGGCAAUACAAAAACCCCCUCGGGAAAUCGCUCAUUUCAAAAUCAGCCCAUCCGCACACAGCCUCAUUUCCACACACCUCUUUUUGGUUAAAAAAAUAUCCGCGCUCGCCCCACGCAAAGCCAUAACCGCCCCGACCGCCACCGAUCCCGCCGUCGCAACCGGAACCUUGGAGGAGAGAAAACCGUGGCCGGUCCUUUCCGAACAACCCUCCUAAGAAAAAUCAACGUUCGUUCCGUAACUCUUCCCAUCAGCCGGGCACCUUGAAACCGUUAAACAAGCCUCCUUGGCAAAAAUCA